rnacentral:misc_RNA from 1 species
AACGCACAUUGCGCCCGCCAGUAUUCUGGCGGGCAUGCCUGUUCGAGCGUCAUUUCAACCCUCAAGCCCUGCUUGGUGUUGGGGACCUACGCACCGCCGUAGGCCCCGAAAGUUAGUGGCGGGCUCGCUAAAGUCCUGAGCGCAGUAGCACAUCUCGCUUAUGGUGUUUUAGUGGGUGCCGGCCGUUAAACCCCCAACUUUAACAAGUUUGACCUCGGAUCAGGUAGGAAUACCCGCUGAACUUAA